rnacentral:lncRNA from 1 species
AUAUUUUUUUGGUGGAGAUGGGGUUUCGCUGUGUUGGCCGGGCUGGUCUCCAGGUCCUAACCGCGAGUGAUCCGCCAGCCUCGGCCUCCCAAGGUGCCGGGAUUGCAGACGGAGUCUCGUUCACUCAGUGCUCAAUGAUGCCCAGGCUGGAGUGCAGUGGCGUGAUCUCGGCUCGCUGCAACCUCCACCUCCCAGCCGCCUGCCUUGGCCUCCCAAAGUGCCGAGAUUGCAGCCUCUGCCUGGCCGCCACCCCGUCUGGGAAGUGAGGAGCGUCUCUGCCUGGCCGCCCAUCGUCUGGGAUGUGAGGAGCCCCUCUGCCUGGCUGCCCAGUCUGGAAAGUGAGGAGCGUCUCUGCCCGGCCGCCCCGUCUGAGAAGUGAGGAGCCCCUCCGCCCGGCAGCCGCCCCGUCUGAGAAGUGAGGAGCCCCUCCGCCCAGCAGCCACCCCGUCUGGGAAGUGAGGAGCAUCUCCGCCCGGCA